rfam:Otolemur garnettii contig053989, whole genome shotgun sequence.
GCUGGGUGUAGUGGCAGACACCUGUAGUCCCAGCUACUCUGGAGGCUGAGGCAAGAGAAUCACCUAAGUCCAGGAGUUGUAGGUUGCUGUGAGCUGUGUGAUGCCAUGGCACUCUACCAAGGGCGAUAAAAAUAAAGUGAAAAAUUUUUUAUAUUUUUGAGACAGAGCCUUAAGCUGUCCCGCUGGGUAGAGUGCUGUGGCAUCACAGCUCACAGCAACCUCCAACUCCUGGGCUCAAGCGAGUCUCUUGCCUCAG